rnacentral:piRNA from 1 species
UUCUCAGAUUGAGACUCACAAAAGUGGCUUC